AACGAACGCUGGCGGCAUGCCUAACACAUGCAAGUCGAACGGGAUCCUAGCUUGCUAGGUGAGAGUGGCGGACGGGUGAGUAACACGUGGGAAUCUGCCUUUUGGUUCGGGAUAACCGCGGGAAACUGCGGCUAAUACCGAAUGCCCUCGUGAGAGGAAAGAUUUAUCGCCAGAAGAGGAGCCCGCGUCCGAUUAGGUAGUUGGUGGGGUAAAGGCCUACCAAGCCGACGAUCGGUAGCUGGUCUGAGAGGAUGAUCAGCCACACUGGGACUGAGAUACGGCCCAGACUCCUACGGGAGGCAGCAGUGGGGAAUAUUGGACAAUGGGGGCGAACCCUGAUCCAGCAAUGCCGCGUGAGUGAUGAAGGCCUUAGGGUUGUAAAGCUCUUUUGCCAGGGAAGAUGAUGACUGUACCUGGAGAAUAAGCCCCGGCUAACUUCGUGCCAGCAGCCGCGGUAAU
rnacentral:rRNA from 1 species